CGGCUUUGGCAGCAAAUAUACUAAAAUUGGAAUGAUACAGAGAAUAUUAGCAUGGCCCCUGCCCAAGGAUGACACGUAAAUUCGUGAAGUGUUCCAUAUUAAA
ensembl:snRNA U6 U6 spliceosomal RNA